UGCUAGUUCCAGCGCAGUCCAG
rnacentral:miRNA from 1 species